ensembl:snRNA U6 U6 spliceosomal RNA
UUGCUUCAGCAGCAAUAAUACAGACAAAAUUGGAAUAAUACAGACAAAAUUGACUUGGCCCCUGAACAAGGAUGACACACAAAUUCAAGAAGAGCUCCAGAUUUUU